rnacentral:rRNA from 1 species
ACGUCUAAGCAGUAAGGCUGAGUAUUAGGCAAAUCCGGUACUCGUUAAGGCUGAGCUGUGAUGGGGAGAAGACAUUGAGUCUUCGAGUCGUUGAUUUCACACUGCCGAGAAAAGCCUCUAGAUAGAAAAUAGGUGCCCGUACCGCAAACCGACACAGGUAGUCAAGAUGAGAAUUCUAAGGUGAGCGAGCGAACUCUCGUUAAGGAACUCGGCAAAAUGACCCCGUAACUUCGGGAGAAGGGGUGCUCUUUAGGGUUAACGCCCAGAAGAGCCGCAGUGAAUAGGCCCAAGCGACUGUUUAUCAAAAACACAGGUCUCUGCUAAACCGUAAGGUGAUGUAUAGGGGCUGACGCCUGCCCGGUGCUGGAAGGUUAAGAGGAGUGGUUAGCUUCUGCGAAGCUACGAAUCGAAGCCCCAGUAAACGGCGGCCGUAACUAUAACGGUCCUAAGGUAGCGAAAUUCCUUGUCGGGUAAGUUCCGACCCGCACGAAAGGCGUAACGAUUUGGGCACUGUCUCA